rnacentral:rRNA from 1 species
UGGGGAAUAUUGCACAAUGGGCGCAAGCCUGAUGCAGCCAUGCCGCGUGUAUGAAGAAGGCCUUCGGGUUGUAAAGUACUUUCAGCGGGGAGGAAGGGAGUAAAGUUAAUACCUUUGCUCAUUGAUGUUACCCGCAGAAGAAGCACCGGCUAACUCCGUGCCAGCAGCCGCGGUAAUACGGCGGGUGCAAGCGUUAAUCGGAAUUACUGGGCGUAAAGCGCACGCAGGCGGUUUGUUAAGUCAGAUGUGAAAUCCCCGGGCUCAACCUGGGAACUGCAUCUGAUAAUGGCAAGCUUGAGUCUCGUAGAGGGGGGUAGAAUUCCAGGUGUAGCGGUGAAAUGCGUAGAGAUCUGGAGGAAUACCGGUGGCGAAGGCGGCCCCCUGGACGAAGACUGACGCUCAGGUGCGAAAGCGUGGGGAGCAAACAGG